AUACUUACCUGGCACAGGAGAUACCGUGAUCACGAAGGCGGUUUUCCCAGGGCGAGGCUCACCAUUGCACUUCGGUGGUGCUGACCCUUGCGAAUAACCCAAAUGUGGUUAUCUCGGGUGCGAAAUUUUUGUUAGCUGGGGACUGCGUUCGCGCUAUCCCCUU
rnacentral:snRNA from 1 species